GUUCAUGACUCCACUGUGGGUCUCCCAUGCUAGGGCUGUGCCUCAGUAGCUGAGUCUGUGGAGUGGGUGCCUUUUUAAUGCCCUGCUCCAGGCUCAUGAAGCCUGGGUAACCUCCAACUCACCUCAGGCCAGGCAGGCUCCCUGCUGGCCACGGGGCCAUUUUCUGCUGCGGCAGCACCCCCUGCUGGCCCAGACGGCACCGGCCUUGUGCCUGCCCCCCUGGAAUUCUUUUCUCUCCCUCCAGAUAUGGCCCUCCAAGCCCUGCCCCUUCUGUGCCAUCCCUCAGGUUCUGCAAGGCACUGGCCAAUUCUGCACAGCUGGGCCUUCCCACCCUGCCCCUGAGAUUCACAGAGCAGGGUCCACUGUCUCCCAGGCAUGUCUUCCCCAGGCUAAGGGCCCAGCAGUGGCACCCUUCCACCCACUGCAUGAGUCCUGCUCUCUCCCCACCCAAUGAGGCCACUACCGGCUCUGUCUCAGGCCCUUUUGUCCAAGUCUCUUCUGAAUAAAGGCACCAGAGAGUCCAGCCCUGACCAUAAUGCCCCAGAUGAAGCUUGACAGGGGGAGAACUGGAUGCAACAGUCCAGGUUUCCCUAAGAUCAGGCUGUCAUGGUCUGAUUUGUGUCUCCAAAUUCAGAUGUUGAAGACUUAACCUCCCAUGCGAUUGUGUUUGGAGAUAAUUCCUUUAGGGAGUCGAUGAAGGUUAAAUGAGGGCAUAAGUAGGAGCUUAAUCCAAUGGGACUGGGGUCCCUACAAGAAGAGGAAGACGCCGGAGCUCUCUGCCUCCACACACAGGGAGGAGAGGUCGUCUGAAGACAAAAGAGAAGGUAAUAGCUGUCUACAAACCGAGAAGAGGAGCCUCAGCAGACAAUGAAUCCCGUUGCACCUUGGUCUUGGACUUUCCAGCCUCCAGAACUGGGAGACAAUAAAGUUCGGUUGUGUAAGCCCUCCAGUGCAUGGCAUUUUGUUAUGGCAGACCUAGCAGAUUAAUACACCUGCCGAUUAAACUACUUGUUCUCCCCUUGUCUCAGGGUUUGCUCCUAGGGAACCUGGACUAAGACAGACGCUCUGCUUCAUUAG